UUUUUGAGAGCUCACAGCCACUCUCUCUCCUACUUGGCGCUCUCAAAAACCUCUAUUUCUUCCUCUUUGAAUUCUUCUAAGCCAAAGGCGUUUCAUAAAUAGGCGUUUCUUAAUUUCUCUAUUUCUUCCCCCCUCUCCCUAAUCAUAAAAAAAGGCGUUUCAUUUGUUUAUAUAAGGCAAUCACCACAUCACAAGGGGAUCAUUAAUCUCCUAAUCUCUUUAAUCAUUAAUUAAGAGAUUUCAAAGAGCCCAUCAUCUUCUCCAAAAUAUUUCUCCCAAAUUUGCUACUAUUUGAAUUCACUCAGCGUUACUCACUCAAAAUUAUACUCCAUCUUCUCAAAAAAUCUUCUCCACAAUUCAUCCAAUCAGCAGAAAGGGCAGAUAACUUUUCAAAGCAGGUGCUUCAUCCAUGGCUGCAAACGCCUCUUGCCCACAAAUUGGAAGGUGCUUCUGUCUAUCUCUCUCUCUAUUUCAUUCGAUAGCCCAAAUUUGGAAGGUGCUUCAUCCCUGGCUGCAAUCGUCUCUUCCCCACAACUACAGAUCCAUAUAUGAAUCAAGGUAAGUAAUUGGGAGUGAUAGAUUUGGAAAGGCUAAUCUGUCGAUUUCAUCCUUCCUAUAUAAUAUGUUAAUUUCUGUAAUUUUUUCGAUGACGAAGAUAAAGUUGUAACAGUUGACGCCAUUGUAAACCCUAUCGAUCUCAUCAGUUUCAGUGAUUGAUCCGUCGUUAGAGCUCCUAUCCUGCUGCUUCAUCUUGGUUGUAUCGUUCAUCAACAUCUCUUACAGAUUCAUGAAUCAAUGCUUGGGGGUAAGUAAUUUUGGGAGUCAAUAGAUUCGGAAAGCUGCAAAUCUGUCUUCCGUAAUUUCAUCUUUCCCAUAUUUUUUAUAUAAAUUUUCAACUUUGCAAAAUAUUCAUCUACACCAUCUACUUCAUAUCAGUCACAGACUCCCCUAAGCUACUCGAGCUAUAGACGCCGACGAGAGAAAAAUAAUUGUUCGUCAAUGCCUACGCAAACGAUUCCAGUUUUCGGUUAGUUUUUAUUUACUAAUAUCUAUAGAUAUUGUGGUUCAAGUGUGAUCUUUUAAAUUGUGAUGUGGUUGUCAGUCAAUGAAAUAACUAGAAACUAGCAAAUAUUUUCUGCAGUUUGAUUAAGCAUUCUAUUUCUCCGUAUCCAAAGAGGAUAUCGUUUCUGAAAAAGAAAGAGCACACCCAGAGGAAUUUUGUAUCCACCUUUGUAGAGAAAGCAUUGUGUUUGGUCUCAUUAUGCAUUGUAGUCUGGGUGAAUUUUAACAAGGAAAGGCUAAAAUUCCUCCUAUAUCACCAUGUUCUUCUAUUUUUGUUGAAAUCUUAGGAAUAUUUAUUUAUGUUAAAAGGCACAUGAAUGUGCUUUCUGAUUGUGCUAUGCUUCAUUGAGUUUUUCCUGUCAAUACAGGGAAAGUUUCCACUGCAGCCACUUUAUCAUCUGUAUGCUCUGGCCAACUGGUGUUCUCGUGAUACUCUUAUAUUGUGCUCUUACACAAUGGUUGACUAAUGCUCUCACUGCAGACUCACUCCAGUCAUUUUGUACAAAUCAAGUGUAUGUUGUCCAUUAAUUAGAAGUACUUCUCAAUCUUGUUUAUCUGUAUUAUUUAACAUUGAUCAUAUAUAGUAGAGAUUGAUAUAUGUUUGUAAUCUAUCUCUUCUUUGCUUAAUACCAACAAGCCAUGGCUGCUGUUCUGGAAGAUGCUUUUGAAAUCAAUUACAAUAGUAUAUUGACAUGUA
rnacentral:lncRNA from 1 species